UACGUAGGGUGCGAGCGUUGUCCGGAAUUAUUGGGCGUAAAGAGCUUGUAGGCGGUCUGUCGCGUCUGCUGUGAAAAAUCCGGGGGCUCAACCCCCGGACUUGCAGUGGGGUACGGGGCAGACUAGAGUUCGGUAGGGGGAGUCUGGAAUUCCUGGUGUAGCGGUGAAAAUGCGCAGAUAUCGAGAGGAACACCUGCGGCGAAGGCGGGGUUUGCUGGGGCUGAUACUGACUGAGGCGCGAAAAGCUAGGGGGGAGCGAACGGGG
rnacentral:rRNA from 1 species